CAGCCGCCGCGGUAAUGCGGAGGGGGCUAGCGUUGUUCGGAUUUACUGGGCGUAAAGCGCACGUAGGCGGACUUUUAAGUCAGGGGUGAAAUCCCGGGGCUCAACCCCGGAACUGCCUUUGAUACUGGGAGUCUUGAGUUCGAGAGAGGUGAGUGGAAUUGCGAGUGUAGAGGUGAAAUUCGUAGAUAUUCGCAGGAACACCAGUGGCGAAGGCGGCUCACUGGCUCGAUACUGACGCUGAGGUGCGAAAGCGUGGGGAGCAAACAGGAUUAGAUACCCGCGUAGUCCCUGUCUCUUAUAC
rnacentral:rRNA from 1 species